GUCCGGGUGGUGGAAUGGUAUACACAGGAGACUUAAAAUCUCCCGCCGUAAGGCUUGUGGGUUCGAGUCCCACCCCGGACA
rfam:Parcubacteria bacterium GW2011_GWA2_49_16 TY42_C0015, whole genome shotgun sequence.